rnacentral:rRNA from 1 species
GACGAACGCUGGCGGCGUGCUUAACAUAUGCAUGUCGAAGAUAGUGGCGCACGGGUGCGUAAUACGUUGGUAACCUGCCCUCCUUUUUGGGAUAAGCCUUGGAAACGGGGUCUAAUACUGAAUAAAGGGGGAUGGGCUCGCGGCCUAUCAGCUCGUUGGUGGGGUGUUGGCCUACCAAGGCGGUGACGGGUAGCCGGGCUUAGGGGGGGACCGGCCACAUUGGGACUAAGGUACGGGCCAGACUCCUACGGGAGCGAGCAGUGGGGUAUAUUGCACAAUGGGCGAGAGCCUGAGUCAGCAACGCCGCGUGGGACAUGAAGGCUUUGGGGUUGUAAACCUCUUUCGAGAUCGAACGGGUAGGUGGCGAAGAAGCGCCGGCUAACUACGUACCAGCAGCCGCGGUAAUAC